GACGGACCGUACGAACGUUAUUCGGAAUUACUGGGCUUAAAGGGUGCGUAGGCGGCUCAGAAAGUUGAAUGUGAAAGCCCUCGGCUUAACCGAGGAAUUGCAUCCAAAACUACUGGGCUUGAGUGAGACAGAGGUGAGCGGAACUCACGGUGGAGCGGUGAAAUGCGUUGAUAUCGUGAGGAACACCGGUGGCGAAGGCGGCAUCCUGGACCGGUAUUGACGCUGAGGCGCGAAAGCCAGGGGAGCAAACGGGG
rnacentral:rRNA from 1 species